rnacentral:lncRNA from 1 species
CCUUGUAUUUCUAUUUCUAUCCCUGAGCACAGAAUCAGUAUUUAACAUGUAAUUGUUGAUUGAUCAACUAAUUAGAGGUGUUAGAUUUGAUGAAAAGAAGGUCCACCCUUAAUCGUUAUUGUUCAUCCUUUGUUUCCAAAGAGUGGACCUCUAUGACAUCAUAGAAUAGCUUAACUUGCACCUGAACUAGAUUUAAGUGAGGCAGAGCUGCACAAAGUCAUCAGCCUCAUCCUCUAGUCCAGAGUCAUCCAAUCCCAGUGGCAAAACAAAAGCCAGGACCACAGCCAAUGAUCCGGGAUUCCGUGGAUGACUUUGGUGUCCUUAAUGUUUGACCAAGCUCUAAGUGUUCCACAGGGACCUUCACGCCACUGGAACAAAUUGUUCUCAUUCAUCCAUUCUGCUGGGAUUCCGGGAUCUUCCCUCAAGAGUAAAGAGAGAGAGUCUCUUUCAGAAAAGUGGCUGCAGGAUGGCUGUAAAGGUCAUAGCUCCAGUUCUAGAUUCUUUCCCUCCUCUACCCCUUUUUAAGAAGGUGAGUAAUUUGAUAUCAAUUAUACAUGUAAAAUUAUGCAAAACACAUUUUCAUGUUAGCCAUUUUAUAAAAGAAAACAUAGCCACUGUAAUGAUUAAAAUAGUUGGAGCCAUAAACUGUAACAUUUAAAAGAGCUGGUUGGCAUAAACUGAGACAGAUAAGAUAUGGUUUUUUUAUAUUAAAAAUAAAGUGGUCACCAGGGAAAAAUUCCCA